CCAACGGCCCUCUUUAGGGCCACAAAUGUCCAAAUAAUCCUAAAGU
rfam:Caenorhabditis brenneri strain PB2801 C_brenneri-6.0.1_Cont1787.2, whole genome shotgun sequence.